rnacentral:lncRNA from 1 species
UGGAACUUUCAUGAGUCACAUAGCCAUCGAGGACUUAAUAAGAAGUUUUCCAUGAUCCGAAAAACAAUAUUACGAAGCCAAGUGUUCAGAGGACACCAAGGACUCGACAACCUCCAUUUCCUCUGGACAAAGUGUCCUUGAACUCUUUCAUCUGGGACACCUCCCCGCUCCCUCACGCUUUGGUAAGCGAACCCAAAAUCCAGUCCGUCUCUCAGAUGUCACCUCCAAACAGCAGUUCAGAGACACUGCACUGGGCUUCCCACUGGGCAAGGGGGCAGAUUUUAAGUCAGAAGAGAUAGGUGUCUAAGUCAUCCUCCCCCUGUAGACUGUAAGCACCUUGUGGGCAGGGAAUGUGCCUAACUACUCCACUUUAUUGUACUUUCCCAAACGCUUAGUCCAGUGGGUGCAGAGAACAGGUAGGUAAGGGGAAGAAAGUUGGUGAAGAGUCUUGAAACCCAGCAGAAACUUCCUGCGCUAAAAUGUGCAUAGAGAUAGAGGACAUUAGAGAGUCAUUUCUGUAUUUCCAAAUAUAUAAACUAUAACAUUUCCAAAACUUAACCAUUCAAUAAAUUGGGACGUAAUAUGGCCUAGUGGGCCUGGCAGCCAGAGGACCCGGAUUCUGAUUCCAGCUCCGCCCCUUGCUUGCUGUGUGACCUUGGGUAAGUCACUUCGCUUCUCUGGACCUCCUUUUCCCUAACGGCAAAAUGGUGACUCAAUACCUGUUCUCCCUCCCUCUUAGACUGUGAACCUCAUGUGGGACUUAAUUAUCUGGUAUCUACCCCAGUGCUUAGUACAGUGCUCGUCACCUAGUAAGAAAUAUGCCAGUUACUGAUUUGGUCAAAACCCUUCUUGAAUAAGCCAAGCAGGUUCAGAAAAGGAUCCAAGGUAAUCACUUUUAAAGUGCUUUGGGAACCAUUAUGGAAGUGCCUUUAUUUUGCUAUUCAUCUCAAAGUAAUAUAAGAUAGUGUUCAAUCUCCAGCCAAGUCCAGAAG